rnacentral:rRNA from 1 species
AUUGAACGCUGGCGGCAUGCCUAACACAUGCAAGUCGAACGGAGGUAGGGGCAACUCUACUUCAGUGGCGGACGGGUGAGGAAUGCGUCGGAAUCUACCCUAUGGUGGGGAGUAACACAGGGAAACUUGUGCUAAUACCGCAUGAUGUCGAGAGACCAAAGCAGGGGACCGGCAAGGCCUUGCGCGAUAGGAUGAGCCGACGCCCGAUUAGCUAGUUGGUAGGGUAAUGGCCUACCAAGGCGACGAUCGGUAGCUGGUCUGAGAGGAUGAUCAGCCACACUGGGACUGAGACACGGCCCAGACUCCUACGGGAGGCAGCAGUGGGGAAUAUUGGACAAUGGGCGAAAGCCUGAUCCAGCCAUGCCGCGUGAGUGAUGAAGGCCUUAGGGUUGUAAAGCUCUUUCAGUGGGGAAGAUAAUGACGGUACCCACAGAAGAAGCCCCGGCUAACUUCGUGCCAGCAGCCGCGGUAAUGUCGAUA